rnacentral:rRNA from 1 species
UACAGAGGGUGCGAGCGUUAAUCGGAAUUACUGGGCGUAAAGCGCGCGUAGGCGGCUUUGCAAGUCGGGUGUGAAAUCCCCAGGCUUAACCUGGGAACUGCAUUCGAGACUGCAUUGCUAGAGUAUGGGAGAGGGAAGUGGAAUUUCCGGUGUAGCGGUGAAAUGCGUAGAUAUCGGGAGGAACACCAAUGGCGAAAGCAGGUAACUGGACUAUUACUGACACUCAACUGCGAAAGCUAGGGGAGCAAACAGG